rnacentral:rRNA from 1 species
UACACUCCUACGGGAGGCAGCAGUGGGGAAUUUUGGACAAUGGGCGAAAGCCUGAUCCAGCAAUGCCGCGUGAGUGAAGAAGGCCUUCGGGUUGUAAAGCUCUUUUGUCAGGGAAGAAACGGUGAAAGCUAAUAUCUUUUGCUAAUGACGGUACCUGAAGAAUAAGCACCGGCUAACUACGUGCCAGCAGCCGCGGUAAUACGUAGGGUGCAAGCGUUAAUCGGAAUUACUGGGCGUAAAGCGUGCGCAGGCGGUUUUGUAAGUCUGAUGUGAAAUUCCCGGGCUCAACCUGGGAAUUGCAUUGGGGACUGCAAGGCUAGAAUCUGGCAGAGGGGGGUAGAAUUCCACGUGUAGCAGUGAAAUGCGUAGAUAUGUGGAGGAACACCGAUGGCGAAGGCAGCCCCCUGGGUCAAGAUUGACGCUCAUGCACGAAAGCGUGGGGAGCAAACAGGAUUAGAAACCCCAGUAGUCCCAUGAU